CCUGCCUGCAUACCUGGGGAGGAGUCUGGACACGCUUGUGCCUGGGAGGAGUUCGAGAACGUGGCCGAGCUUCUCUCGACCCUUUUUCAACUGUGGGCUUACUCGAGUCUCCCGCCUGUCGCUCUCUUGCGGUCUCCUCAUCCUUCAUUUUAAAGGCUUCUUCUGCUCGAGCGUACCCUUCGGCCCGAGCCAAUAGGUCAGCAAAAUCCCUAGGGUACUUCUUCUCCAGGGAGA
rnacentral:lncRNA from 1 species